CCUACGGGAGGCAGCAGUGGGGAAUAUUGCACAUGGGCGAAAGCCUUAUGCAACAACGCCGCGUGAGCGAUGAAGGCCUUCGCGUCGUAAAGCCCUGUCCCCAAGGAAGAUAAUGACGGUACUUGGGGAGGAAGCCCCGGCUAACUACGUGCCAGCAGCCGCGGUACUACGUAGGGGGCUAGCUUUAUCCGGAAUUACUGGGCGUAAAGGGUGCGGAGGUGGUUUCUUAAGUCAGAGGUGAAAGGCUACGGCUCAACCGUAGUAAGCCUUUGAAACUGGGAAACUUGAGUGCAGGAGAGGGGAGUGGAAUUCCUGGUGUAGCGGUGAAAUGCGUAGAGAUUAGGAGGAACACCAGUGGCGAAGGCGGCUCUCUGGACUGUAACUGACACUGAGGCACGAAAGCGUGGGGAGCAAACAGGAUUAGAUACCCUUGUAGUC
rnacentral:rRNA from 1 species